UCCCUAGUGGCUCAGAUGGUAAAGCGUCUGUCUGCAAUGCAGAAGGCCCGGGUUUGAUCCCUAGGUUGGGAA
rfam:TPA: Bos taurus chromosome 7, whole genome shotgun sequence.